CAGAGACCCGCGGCAGCCAUAGCCAUCGGUGGAUCGGCGCUCGGCAGGUGCGUCGGGCAGAAACCGGAAGACAGACUGACACGCUGUAGUCGAGCGCCGAGUCCUCGAGUGUACCGAAACAGAAGAAAGAGGAUGCUGCGCACGCGCCAUCGCAACGGGGCGGGCCCAGUAGGAGGAGUUUGGAGCGUGGUAACUGCGGAGUUCCUUCUGGUCCUAGCAACCCACAGCAGGCUUUGUGAAGCCUGUCACUAGCCCUUCACCCAUCAUAUAGCUCUAUGACGUCGGUUUGAAGGGACAUGGGAAGGAAGGUGGGAGGCAACUCCCUUCCUCAACACCUACACUUUACCUCCCUAAGAAGACCAUUGGUGGAUCAGAAGCACCACAGAGGGUGCCUGGAGACAUCUUAGAGGCCGUCUUCCCCGAAGGACUGCUUUACACUGGUUCAAGAACAAGGCCUUCCACAAAACCCUUGAGCAAUGUGGAGAGGGUGGCUUCCUUCAAGCCAGUGGCUUUCAGACAGCAGCCUCUAAUGUGACCCUAGUGAUCUUUGGGCUUCUAAGAGAUUAAAAAUAUGCAGAGAAUUGUGAAAGGCUGGCAAGGCAACAAAGUGAAAA
rnacentral:sRNA from 1 species